AUGAAAACUUCAGUAACAGAACAUGGUGAUUCAUUAGAGAUAUGCAUAUGGGCAAGGCAUUGCGAUGCAUUCAGUGUAUGGGGUCUUCCGCUUAGCUGCGAGGUCUGCGUUUCGCUGAGCCCGCAAUGCCUUCCUCUCAUCUGGUGGUAUGCUCUGCCUGCGUGCUCUUCGACGGGCGUUCAUCUCUUGCCUCUGCUCAACUGGUAUAUUUUUACUCACUGCCCUUCUACGGGCGCUCAUCUCUUGCCUCUCCUUUGUUGUCAGAUUUUGUCUGGCAGCGCUUUGGCUCGAAUUCCUAUCUUCAAUAGUUUUAUUUUGUCUAGAUGCUCUUCGACACGCAUUCAUUUCUUCUCUUUGCUCGGGUGUUAG
rnacentral:rRNA from 1 species